CAUUCAGCCGCCCCCUCCCUAUUAUUUCCCAUUUCCCCUAAUCCUUUUCAUUUUCUUUCUCUCAUCAUCUCUUCUCAGCCAUCCCAUCCCCUCUCUCCCUCCCUAUUUCAGAUUCCUCUUUCCAUAACGUAAGUUUUCCGCAUUUUAAAAAUGCGGCUAAAACCAUUUAGAUAUUUUCUAUCACACUUUCCCUUUUCAUUUUCUCGAGAAAAUCCCUGGAAUCGUUUGCGCUUUGAGCAAAAUCGUAUUGGGUAAUUUUUUUUAGGUUUUUUUUUUGUUUCCACUUUCAGUGAAAAUCUCAACGGUUCUAUAUAUAUAUAUAUAUAUAUAUAUAUAUAUUUGAAUUGAUUUUUGCCGAGUUUCAGAGGGGGUUUGAAUCCGUGGCAGAGAUCUAAGGGUUUUGUGGAGGAUCGAGAUUUUUGAAUUGGGUUUUGGAAUUUGUGGCAAAAUUAUUUAGGGUUUUGUGGGGUUUUUUUUUUGAUUGAGAAAGGUGUUAGAGAUGGGAAUUUUACUACCGAUGGCGUUGGGAAGCUGAGGGAGGUAGUGAAGGAGAAGCUGAUGGAGUUCACGGAUUUCAGCAAUGAUCAUGCGGCAGUCCUCGACGAAGGCCGUGACCUCAUUGUCAUACGAGAUGUUUCGGCCGAUGGAGCGGAACCAGUGCUCCUUGCGCUUCUGCUUGACCCACAUGAACCCGGUGGUGCGGUUGUAGCCGACCUCGACGACGUCGUCUAGAGGGAGGAGGCCUUUGGGGAGAGAGAUCUCACUGAGGAGAUCCUGAGACUUUUGCUUGCACAGCUCUUCGCCGUGGUAGAUCUCUGCUUGCUCUCUGUGGUUUGUGACUUCCUGUCUUGACAUUUUUUGUUUGAGAAUUUUGUUUUGUUGUGAUCUCAUCUGAGUGGGUCAGUGGUAUAUCAUAUAUACAAGGGAGUGGGUUGUGUUCUUUUGAGUGGUGUGGAGUGAGACAUGUGGUUUUUACAGUAAUGGGAAUUUUGCUUUUUUGGAAUCUGGGCAUGCUAGACAAUUUUAAUUAGAUGUGUAAUGGUUUGUUUAUCUAUUGGGUUUUGUGUGAACUUGACUUUGACUUUUUGGAUGAAGUAAGAUGCCAGGAAAAAGCAAGAGAAUUGAUGAGUCUAGUUUUACACUGCGUUUUAUUUUUUAUUAUUCUUACUAUUAUUAUUAUUAUUUAUGAACCAUUGCUUUUCUUUUGUUGUUCCUUGCUUUUACAAACAGGCAUAUUAUUGUAAAGGUGAGAUGAAGUAUUUCUAAAUUCAAAAUUAGGUCUUUUAAAUGCUUCUCUUUCAUGGAAAUUUUAAAUAAGGGAAUGCUAGAUAGGUUUUGCACAUAUUAUUGCUAGUAUAAUUUCAGCUUUUUUCACUUUUUAAAUCAUUUGUCAAUGAUAUUUGUAUAGACAUGAUUCUUCUUUUUUUUGUCCUUUCCAUGGCUGGUACUGUAUCAUUAAAUGUGAUUUUGAUUUUAGCUCAGGUGGCUUAGUUUACAAGUAGUUCCUGCUCAGAUUUUAACUUGUGGGAAAACAAAGGAAUGCAUUUUUUUUUAAUUCAAUUUUGCAGAAUAAAGGCAGUAUUUUUUGAAUUACAACUAUUCUAGUCGAAGUGUUUUGUAUCAGCAGUGACUUAGACAUACUUAGGGUGCUUCUGCAACUAUGUUUUGACCUUCAAAAACAUAUGUAACUUACCAAAAAAAAAAGGGUUUUUACCUACUUAUAAGUUAGCAUUGAAAUGGAACAAGUUUGGUACAAUCAUGGUUUCGGAGAUGCUUUCCUCCUUAAAGACAUUGAGGUAGGAAACAAACUGAUACUUGUUUCCAAAAGCGCAAUUGACAUUUAAAUACUGUUUUGUACUUUUCAUAAAACAUUUUGUAUGCUGAGCUUGAUAGAGACAGAAACUCUAAAUCUUUAGUCUAUGUCUUCAAUGGUAUUUCAAUUCAAGGUAAGAAGGUUUCAUUAUUCAAGGGUUACCGUUCAUUUAACUGCAUGAAAAGUAUACAUUUUUGUUAUUUUUUUCAGUAAUUAAUUUACUAAUUGAACUUAGAGGCCAUUUUAAUGCAGAAAUACCUUCUUUAGUUUAUUGUGUGUGAGUUUUAGUGAGUUUCUUGUUGCUGUUCUGGAUAAGAAUUCAUUUUUGUAUAUAUAUAUAUAUAUAUAUUUAUUAUCUAUAUUGUUCUUAAUUUUUUUAAAGUGAAAUAUAUAUAUAUAUAUAUAUUAGUGGUGGGAGGCGUUUUGAGUGGCUCCCAAAAAAGAAUGAUAACAACGAAAAGAAGCUCCCAAGAAAUGUGUAAGCCUUAUUGUGUUGUUUAUCAUUGUUAUUUAUCUAGUUUUCCUUUGAAUUUUUAAGUAUUUAUAAAAGCCUAUAUAUAUAUAUAGAUUUUUGGUGUUAAAUUUUGGGUAUAGGAGCUUUGGGAUUUGUAAGGGUUUAUAUUGUGUUGUAAUGUGUUUAAUUUUGUGCGAUAUAUUGGUUGUGUGUGCCUGAAAUUCUUUUACCCCUUAUCUUUUAUAUUUCCUAUGUCAUUUGUUGGAUGGUUAUGCAAUGGUUUUAUUGAUUUACAUCAGCAUGUACUAGAGAGGGAAAAGCCUCAUGAAAGAAGCCAAAUUAUAAGCAAGUUGUCAGGACAUAUUGUACAACUGAGCCAACAUAAAUUUGCAUCAAACGUUAUUAAGAAAUGUUUGGAGUAUGGUGGCCCCACUGAACGAGAACUAUUAAUUGGGGAGAUUUUUGGGCAUAAUGAAGGAACUGAUAAUUUAUUGGCCGAAGGUUUCAUCGGCACUUUUCUUCAAUUAUAACACCUCGAUGGGACUGUCAUAUCGGGUUUUGGUAGAUACCAACUUCAUCAAUUUCUCUAUCCAGAAUAAACUGGACUUGGAGAAGGGAAUGAUGGAUUGCCUAUAUGCAAAAUGUGAGUUUAGAAUCACUGGUUUCUUCAAUUUAAUGUGAAUAUUAAUUUGCUGCAAGAAUUGUUGUGCCGUGUUGAUGAGGUAUCCUAAGUUCAACAUAGUUGUUAAUGUCGUUUUAUAACAAGCAUUGAGUGCCAUGUAUCAUUGGCAAACACUUAAAUAUGUGUUGGUUGCUUAAUGAUAUUUAUCAAAAUAUUACUUUUGGUUGUGUGGAUGUCCAUGAGAAUGCUUAAGGAAUAAAAUGAGGAUCUUUUUUUAAA